GACGAACGCUGGCGGCGUGCUUAACACAUGCAAGUCGAGCGGUAAGGCCCCUUCGGGGGUACACGAGCGGCGAACGGGUGAGUAACACGUGAGCAACCUGCCCUUCACAUCGGGAUAACCCCGGGAAACCGGGGCUAAUACCGGAUACGACCACCGACGGCAUCGUCUGGUGGUGGAAAGUUCCGGCGGUGGAGGAUGGGCUCGCGGCCUAUCAGCUUGUUGGUGGGGUAACGGCCCACCAAGGCGACGACGGGUAGCCGGCCUGAGAGGGUGACCGGCCACACUGGGACUGAGACACGGCCCAGACUCCUACGGGAGGCAGCAGUGGGGAAUAUUGGACAAUGGGCGAAAGCCUGAUCCAGCAACGCCGCGUGAGGGAUGACGGCC
rnacentral:rRNA from 1 species